GGAACAAACCUAUCUCCUCAAAACAUUGCCGCUUAAUCCUUCCCUACCCCUAGUAUAUAAACUUCUUUUCUUUCUUCUCUUCCCAAUUUCUCCACUCACUUUUUCUCUCUAAACGCCGUUCCUCCAACUUCUCUCUAAGCCUUCAAAGACUGCAACCUUUCUUCUCUCUUUCUCCACUGAUGACUGGAAAACCGAAACCCAAGCCUUUCAACCCUCUCCAUAUUUACUGCUCCGCCAAAGAUUGGACCCAAAAACUGCAAUUUUUCCUCUUCUUCUCACCGGCGAUCUGCGAAUCCCUCUUCUCCCUCACCGGCGAUCAGUUGAUCGCACCCCAAAAACCUCUGAAUCUCUCAAAAUCUGCGACCUUUCCUUUUUUCUUUAAAAUUUUUGGCUUUAUUGUGGUUUCUGGCUACUAGAUUUUUUUUGAAGGUAUUUUUCUUUUUGGUUUGCUCUCUUUGCUGCUAGGGUUUUUUUAGGGAUUUUUCUAGGGAUCCUUCGCUUUAAUUGGAGCGUCAUAUAUCUGGCGUGGAUACUGGGGAUGCAGCCACAUAGGUGCCCCUAGCAUCGGAGGACUACUGCUAGAUGAGAAAAUUUCGCAUCUGGCGAGGCAACUGCCUUGUUCGCACCCUGCUGAGCUAUUACUUUGGUUGCUUUGGGCCUGUUUGCCAAUCCACAUUUCCCUGGGCCAUGCCACUUUAUGACAUGAGGACUGAAUUUGAAACUUUAAAGCUCACUGGAUCUUUUAACUAAUUCUGACCAUAAUAAGUGACGAAUAAAUAAAAAUGAAGGACAAAGUAACAAAAUGAUAUAUCUGCGUUCAGUGCGCUGAACUUUCUUUGGCCUGCCCAUGUCAAGGACACGAGGAGCACCUCCCUUUUUUAUGCCACAAGGAUAAUGGGUAGUGCAAUGCUUGUGGUGACAGUAUGUGCGACAAAUCAGCGUACAGAUGCAAGGAUUGCAAUUUUAAUGUGCUAAAUGUACUUUGCUACCACAAGCAGUUCGGCACAAAUGUGAUGAACAUCGUUUCACACUCAUAUACCAUAAUGAUUAUUUAUAAAUAUCAUUAUUGCAACAUUUGUGAAAAAAUAAGAAAUUUUAAUAUUUGAUUUUACCAUUGUACAAUUCGUGAUAAUUCAUUUUAUCUCAAAUAUGUUUUUGAAGAAUUUUCAUUUAUAAAGCUCGGGAGUAAAAUCUCUACAGAAAUCAAUCAUUCACUCUCUUGUUCU